rnacentral:lncRNA from 1 species
GAUCACAGCUCCAAGUGAGAUGGGAGCCCUGUAAGUGUUCACAGCUGAACUGAGUCACGGGUGGCUGAAACACUGUGCAGGUUAAUGACAUCUGAUUGGAAAAAGGAGGCCCUGACACUCAUCAGAAGGGCUGCAGCUUUGAGCUAGUGAUGAAUACAUUGGUGCAAAAACAGUAAUAGCUCUGUAAAUUCCCCUACCUCUUAAUUACCAGGCUUUCCCCUCGCAUGGUUUGGCAGGUGUAAGUAUAAAGGAAAGGCUGAGGAGGUAAAAGCAUCCUGUUGUAAAGACAUGGGAUGGAGCAAGAGACAGGUUCUACCAGAGAUGGAUCUGCUGGUAGAACCUGUCCAUGCAUCCAGCUGGUUCACAUGAAUAUUCCCUUUCUUCCAGAUGCUGCAUGCAAACUGCAGCAGAGGCAAGCUCAGUGGUUCACCUACAAGCAGCAACCACAGCUUCAGGAGGCAGAUUUUCCAGCUGGUAGAGAUCCAGCAGAAAGGGGAAAAGGCAAAGCAGCAGUUAUUGUGGGAGCACCCAUUACAAAUGGCGCAGUUCUACAGCAGAGGUCACCUCGUCAUGGAGAUUCCCAAAUCCUCCUCAGGACACCAUAAGGAUGCAACAGAGCAGACCCCAUCCAGGCUGCAGGCUGAUCUUUGCUCUGCACCUUAGAGAGCUGGGCACUUUUAAUGGAAGCAUGUUUCAGGCAAGUGAGAGCGGUAAGUAUCUGUGUCAACG